AUGUAUGGUAAAAAUCGACACUUCAACUUUGUUUGGUUUGAGAACUAUAAAUGGCUAGAAUUUAGUGUCAAAUAUGAGGCUGCAUUUUGCUUUGGGUGUUAUUUGUUCAAAGGCAAAUCGAAUGGGGGCCCUAAGGGUGAUGCCUUUGUUAAAGGUGGUUGGAAAAAUUGGUAUAGGCCUGAUGCAUUAGACAAACAUGUGGGUGGUAUUAACAGCAUUCACAACAAAGCUCAAGAGAAGUACAAUUUAUUUGUGGCACCCCAACCAUCAAUUGAUAACAUUAUGGUGAGGGUGUGUAAAGAGGAUUUACGUAUGUACAAGGCUAGGCUGACUUAUUCACUUAGAUGCUUGAGGUUUCUUUUGAACCAAGGAUUGGCAUUUCGUGGACAUGAUGAGAGUGAAGAAUCUAGCAAUAGGGGGAACUUUCUUGAACUUCUUAAAUGGCUUUCGAAAAAUGACGAAGAAGUUAAUAAACAUGUAUUGAACAAUGCUCCUGGGAAUUGCAUCUUGACUAGUCCAAAGAUACAAAAUCAAAUAAUUGAAUAUUCUGCGGCGCAUACAACUAAAAGAAUUAUUGAAGAUAUUGGUGCUGACCACUAUGCAAUCCUAGCUGAUGAGUCUAAUGAUGCAUCUCAUAAAGAACAACUUGCUCUCUGCAUACGAUUUGUUGACAAAUCAGGAAGAGGAUGUGAGAGGUUCCUUGGAGUUGUUCAUGUUGCCAAUACAACUUCAUUGUCACUUAAGGAUGCAAUUCAAACUUUGCUUAAAGAUCAUCAUUUGACUCAUAGUCAAAUACGUGGGCAAGGAUAUGAUGGGGCUAGCAACAUGAAAGGGGAGGUUAAAGGGUUGAAAACAUUGAUCAUGAAAGAGUCACCCUUUGCCUAUUACAUCCAUUGUUUCGCACAUGAACUUCAGUUGGUUCUUAUAGCUGUGGCAAAGGACAAUGAACCAUGUUUGUGGUUCUUUGAUCAUGUUUCUUACUUUCUCAAUAUUGUUGGAGUUUCUUGUAAGCGCCAUGACAUGCUUCGAGAUGUUAGAGCUCAAAAGGUGUUGGAAGCACUUGAAAUGGGUGAGAUUGAAAGUGGAAGUGGGCUAAAUCAAGAGAUGGGACUAGCUAGACCCGGCGACACUUGUUGGGGUUCUCAUUUUAAAACCAUUAUGCACAUUGUUAGCAUGUAUUCCACAAUCCUUGAAGUACUUGAUGCUAUUGGAAAAGAUCCUUCACAAAAAAGUGAGUGGACAAGAAUACGUGGAUUUGCUCAAGCCUUUGAAUCAUUUGACUUUGUUUUCAAUCUUCACUUGAUGCUUGUUAUUCUUGGCUAUACAAAUGAGUUGUCCAAAUCUUUGCAAAAGAGAGAUCAAGAUAUUGUCAAUGCAAUGACAGUUGUUAGUUUGGCAAAGAGUAGAAUGCAACACAUGAGGUCUCAUGGUUGGGAAGAAUUUCUUGCAAAGCUAACCUUAUUUUGCAACAAACAUGACAUUGAAGUUCCUUUGUGGGAGGAUAUUUAUGAGCCUAAUCAAAGAUCACGUCAGUAUUAUGAAGUACAAACAAAUGAUCAUCGUUAUAGAAGAGAAGUAUAUCUUGGUGUCAUUGAUCAAACCAUUCAAGAGCUUGACAAUCGGUUUGAUGAGGUUAAUACGGAGUUGCUUAUUUGCAUGUCGGCUUUGAAUCCCCUCAAUUCAUUUGCUUCUUAUGAUGCACUCAAGGUAAUGAGACUUGCUGAAUUCUAUCCCAUGGACAUUUCAAGCACAGAUUUGAUAAGGCUAGAAUUUCAACUUACUAAUUUUAUUGAUGAUAUGAGACAAGAUGAUAGGUUUAGAAAUGCAAGUAAUAUUGGUGAGCUCUCUAUUAUGCUUGUUGCAACAAAGAAGCAUGUUCUUUAUGAUUUGGUCUACUUACUCAUCAAACUGAUAUUGAUUUUACCGGUGGCGACGGCGAGUGUUGAAAGAGUAUUUUCAGCAAUGAAUCUAGUGAAAAAUAAGUUGAGGACUACUAUGAGUGAUGAUCGCUUGAAUGAUUGCUUGGUGACAUUUAUUGAACGGGAUGUGUUCAUGGAAGUAAGCGAAGAUGACAUAGUUGAUGCUUUCAUGGCAAUGCAAAAACGUAGAGUUACCUAG
rnacentral:rRNA from 1 species